rnacentral:rRNA from 1 species
UACGUAGGGGGCUAGCGUUGUCCGGAAUCAUUGGGCGUAAAGAGCGUGUAGGCGGCUUGGUAAGUCCGCUGUGAAAGUCCAGGGCUCAACCCUGGAAAGCCGGUGGAAACUGUCAAGCUUGAGUCCGGAAGAGGCGAGUGGAAUUCCUGGUGUAGCGGUGAAAUGCGCAGAUAUCAGGAGGAACACCGGUGGCGAAGGCGGGUCUCUGGGCCGAUACUGACGCUGAGGAGCGAAAGCGUGGGGAGCGAACAGG